GGGGCUAUAGCUCAGCUGGGAGAGCGCCUGCUUUGCACGCAGGAGGUCUGCGGUUCGAAAUAGCUCCACCA
rnacentral:tRNA from 1 species